rnacentral:ncRNA from 1 species
ACAUCACUUGGACAUGGCCGUUUAGUCGAUCCUAAGAGAUGGGGAAUCCUUGUAUCAAGGGUGAACUCUACAUGAACAUCAAAAGAGAAUUGGGUUAAUAUUCCCAAACCAGGACAUGGUGGUGGAUGACAAUGUUAGAAAAUGUGGAGAUGUCAUCGGGGGCCUGGGAAGAGUUAUCUUUUCUUUUUAACGACUUUCCCACCCUGAAAUCGGUUCAACCGGAGAUAGGGUUCAAAAUAUGGAAGAACACCACACGUCUUGUGGUGUUUGGUGCCCCCUUACCGGCCAUUGAAAAUAUGGAGAACCGAGUACCAUCCAUGACUAAUCGUACUCAUAUCUGCCUCC